AGUUAAGUGAAUAAGGGCGCACGGUGGAUGCCUUGGCACUAGGAGUCGAUGAAGGACGGGACUAACACCGAUAUGCCUCGGAGAGCUGUAAGUAAGCUUUGACCCGGGGAUUUCCGAAUGGGGAAACCCACUACCCGUAAUGGGGUGGUAUCCGUUACUGAAUACAUAGGUAACGGAAGACAACUCGGGGAACUGAAACAUCUCAGUACCCGAAGGAAGAGAAAGCAAACGCGAUUUCCUGAGUAGCGGCGAGCGAAACGGAAUUAGCCCAAACCAAGACGCAUGCGUCUUGGGGUUGUAGGACAUUCCAUAUGGAGUUACCAAGAAGGUUGGUAGGUGAAUUGAUCUGGAAAGGUCAGCCACAGAGGGUAAAAGCCCUGUAACCGAAAUCAACCUUCCUCCGGAAUGGAUCCUGAGUACGGCGGAACACGAGGAAUUCCGUCGGAAUCCGGGAGGACCAUCUCCCAAGGCUAAAUAC
rnacentral:rRNA from 1 species